CCUACGGGUGUCUGCAGUGGGGAAUAUUGGACAAUGGGCGAAAGCCUGAUCCAGCGAUGCCGCGUGUGUGAAGAAGGCCUUCGGGUUGUAAAGCACUUUCAGUGGGGAAGAAAGCCUUGGGGCUAAUACCCUCGAGGAAGGACAUCACCCACAGAAGAUGCACCGGCUAACUCCGUGCCAGCAGCCGCGGUAAUACGGAGGGUGCGAGCGUUAAUCGGAAUUACUGGGCGUAAAGCGCGCGUAGGCGGUCUGAUAAGCCGGUUGUGAAAGCCCCGGGCUCAACCUGGGAACGGCAUCCGGAACUGUCAGGCUAGAGUGCAGGAGAGGAAGGUAGAAUUCCCGGUGUAGCGGUGAAAUGCGUAGAGAUCGGGAGGAAUACCAGUGGCGAAGGCGGCCUUCUGGACUGACACUGACGCUGAGGUGCGAAAGCGUGGGUAGCAAACAGGAUUAGAUACCCUUGUAGUC
rnacentral:rRNA from 1 species